rnacentral:rRNA from 1 species
CCUACGGGAGGCAGCAGUGAGGAAUUUUGGUCACUGGUCGCGAGCCUGAACCAGCCAAGUCGCGUGAGGGAAGACGGCCCUACGGGUUGUACCCCUCUUUUGCCGGGGAGCAACGGGCGCCACGUGUGUCGCCACUGAGAGUACCCGGAGAAACACCAUCGGCUAACUCCGUGCCAGCAGCCGCGGUAAUACGGAGGAUGCGAGGGUUAUCCGGAUUUAUUGGGUUUAAAGAGUGCGUAGGCGGAGCGUUAAGUCAGUGGUCAAAUUGAGGGGCUCAACCCCUUCCCGCCAUUGAAACUGGCGGUCUUGAGUGGAAGAGAAGGAUGAGGAAUGCGUGGUGUAGCGGUGAAAUGCAUAG